CCCUUAGAUGUUCUGGGCCGCACGCGCGCUACACUGAUGCAUUCAACGAGCCUAUCCUUGACCGACAGGUCCGGGUAAUCUUUGAAUCUGCAUCGUGACGGGGAUAGAUUAUUGCAAUUAUUAAUCUUCAACGAGGAAUGCCUAGUAGGCGCAAGUCAUCAGCUUGCGUCGAUUACGUCCCUGCCCUUUGUACACACCGCCCGUCGCUCCUACCGAUUGGGUGUGCUGGUGAAAUGUUCGGAUCGGCCGUUUGUCGCGGUUUCCGCGUCAUGUGGCUGAGAAGUUCAUUAAACCCUCCCACCUAGAGGAAGGAGAANUCGUANCA
rnacentral:rRNA from 1 species